GACGAACGCUGGCGGCGUGCUUAAUACAUGCAAGUCGAACGGACAACGAGGGAGCUUGCUCCCUUCGGAUCAGCGGCGAACGGGUGAGUAACACGUGGGCAAUCUGCCUCUAAGACUGGGAUAACUGUUGGAAACGGGGGCUAAUACCGGAUACUACAUUGAACGGCAUCGUCCCCUCGUGGAAAGAACUUCUGCUCGGGAUUAGCUCGCGGCCCAUCAGCUUGUUGGUAAGGUAUCGGCUCACCAAGGCGAAGACGGGUAGCCGGCCUGAGAGGGUGACCGGCCACACUGGGACUGCGAGACGGACCAGAAUGCUACGGGAGGCAGCAGUGGGGAAUCUUGCACAAUGGGCGCAAGCCUGAUGCAGCAACGCCGCGUGAGGGACGACGGCCUUCGGGUUGUAAACCUCUUUUAGCAGGGCAGAAGCGAAAGUGACGGUACCUGCAGAAAAAGCACCGGCUAACUACGUG
rnacentral:rRNA from 1 species